rnacentral:rRNA from 1 species
AAAGAGGAGUGGCGAACGGGUGAGUAACACGUGGGUAACCUGCCCAUCAGAAGGGGAUAACACUUGGAAACAGGUGCUAAUACCGUAUAACAAUCGAAACCGCAUGGUUUUGAUUUGAAAGGCGCUUUCGGGUGUCGCUGAUGGAUGGACCCGCGGUGCAUUAGCUAGUUGGUGAGGUAACGGCUCACCAAGGCCACGAUGCAUAGCCGACCUGAGAGGGUGAUCGGCCACAUUGGGACUGAGACACGGCCCAAACUCCUACGGGAGGCAGCAGUAGGGAAUCUUCGGCAAUGGACGAAAGUCUGACCGAGCAACGCCGCGUGGGUGAAGAAGGUUUUCGGAUCGUAAAACUCUGUUGUUAGAGAAGAACAAGGAUGAGAGUAACUGUUCAUCCCUUGACGGUAUCUAACCAGAAAGCCACGGCUAACUACGUGCCAGCAGCCGCGGUAAUACGUAGGUGGCAAGCGUUGUCCGGAUUUAUUGGGCGUAAAGCGAGCGCAAGCGGUUUCUUAAGUCUGAUGUGAAAGCCCCCGGCUCAACCGGGGAGGGUCAUUGGAAACUGGGAGACUUGAGUGCAGAAGAGGAGAGUGGAAUUCCAUGUGUAGCGGUGAAAUGCGUAGAUAUAUGGA